GGGCCCGCACAAGCGGUGGAGCAUGUGGUUUAAUUCGAUGAUACGCGAGGAACCUUACCAGGGCUUAAAUGUAAGUUGCAUGGAUCAGAGAUGGUCCUUUCUUCGGACUACUUACAAGGUGCUGCAUGGUUGUCGUCAGCUCGUGCCGUGAGGUGUCAGGUUAAGUCCUAUAACGAGCGCAACCCCUAUCGUUAGUUGCCAGCAAGUAAAGUUGGGUACUCUAGCGAGACUGCCGGUGCAAACCGAGAGGAAGGUGGGGAUGACGUCAAAUCAUCACGGCCCUUACGUCCUGGGCUACACACGUGCUACAAUGGCCGGUACAGAGAGCAGCCACUACACGAGUAGGAGCGAAUCUUCAAAGCCGGUCUCAGUUCGGAUCGCAGUCUGCAACUCGACUGCGUG
rnacentral:rRNA from 1 species